ensembl:lncRNA
CUAUCUGUCGUGGAGACAUCCAUGCUUACAGUGUGGGCAAUAUUAUUGGCCCUUUGCUUGGGAAAUGGCCAGGAUGUAGACAAGCGGAUGGUCCUUAGAAGCACCUGCUGUAAGCCUGGCAGACUAGAUCAAGACAUAUAAAACACAUCUGCUACCAAAGCUUCAGAAGUUAUUCUUUUUUUUUUUUUUUCUUUAUAAAUGUCAUUUCUGGAAAUGUGCUUUUCAACAUGAGCAUUUCUUGAGGCAAGUGAGACAACUGUCAGGUGAUGAACUAAGAUGGAACUUACUGGGACCUGACUUUCCUAACCACAGCAACCAGACAGAGGGAUUGCUCUGGACGAGGCCAGUCCAGUCCAUAGCAACACAGAGCAGCCCCCUCCAGCCUGGUGAGAAGCCCCUGGAGAAUGUGAGGGCCAGACACCAUGCAACUGCUAGGACACUCACUUCCCAGCGCCUGGUUUUCAGGUAACUGCUUUUGCUGCUGCGAUUCUCCAGUUAUGUCCACGGUGCAUAGGGAAGAACUUGCUCACAGGCAGCAGCUUGUCAUCCUUAAAGCCUGCAUAAUACACACUGUCUGCUCCAGACCUUGAGCUCUCGUCCAGGUUUAACUCACAGUCUUUCAGCUAUUAAACCUAUUUCAAGGUCAACUUUGAUGAUUUCUGGGCUCUGUCACACGGAUCAGACUGGCCUCACUUUAGAAAUGGUUCCCUGGAUGACCAAAAUAUCAAAUUCCUUUAAAAUUGUCCUGAGCCCUUCG